GAUGAAGGAACGUAGCGAAAUGCGAUAAGUAAUGUGAAUUGCAGAAUUCAGUGAAUCAUCGAAUCUUUGAACGCACCUUGCGCUCCUUGGUAUUCCGAGGAGCAUGCCUGUUUGAGUGUCAUUAAUAAUAUCAACCUCUUUGGUUGGAUGUGGGUUUGCUGGCCUAUUGGAGGUCAGCUCUCCUUAAAUGCAUUAGCGGACAACAAUUUGCCAACCGUUCAUUGGUGUGAUAAUUAUCUACGCUAUUGACGUGAAGCAAGGUUCAGCUUCUAACAGUCCAUUGACUUGGACAAGCUUCUUUUUAUUAAUGUGACCUCAAAUCAGGUAGGACUACCCGCUGAACUUAAGCAUAUCAAUAAGCGGAGGA
rnacentral:misc_RNA from 1 species